AGCAGCUUUAGUUGCCUAUGGGAAAGGAGAACGCUCUUGUAACAGCUGUACUGUGGAACUGAACCUCCAGAACCCACGAGGACGUCUGUGGGCUGUCGAAGAGCCCACUCCGCUGCCAGGACCACGGUGACAGUGCCCUCAGAUGGGAUCAUCAACCCCCCUUGGUUCCUCAUCUGAGUGUUGGUGGUGGUGGCGGCAGUUACCAGGCCAGGCUCAUUGGUGAAGGGGGACUUCACCUCCUCGUCACCCAAUGGCUGGUGAUGUUGCUCUAUCGGAGGCCACAUGGACGAAGUCGGUGGAGUCCUGGCCGACCACAUAUUGCCCAUCACCCCUGCCUUCAACCGACACCUUGUGAGACGGCUAUUGUAAUUGACAAAAGUGAUGUACUGUUAUAUGCUUUAUAUUCUGUGUUGGUGUCUUUGCCAACAACUCUUUAUAUGAUGACAAAGUUGGUGAGAAGCUAGUACAGUAAGCCUGUGUUAUGAAGAAUCAUGCAAUUCCUACACUUGUCAGCAAUACCCAUACAUUUCCAUAACUGGAACAUUUCCUUUCCUAAUUUCCUAUUACUAUAUGUCCUAUGCUCCACAGUGGCAACAGCCUGCUGAUAUAGCUCUCUACAAAUCUUAAUUUUAGUAUGUGUAAUGCGUAGCUAUGGAGUGCUUACAGGGUAUGCAGUUCCUUAGGGAGUUGAUGGUGUAGGACUUGGAAUAUGGUCUUGCAAGUCAUGUAUAGGGUCUUGCAAGUCAUGCUCCAGGCUGCGAAUGAGUGUCUCUGAAAUUUUGCUAGGACUCAUACUAGAAUUGCCAUGGUCCCCCUGUUUACAAAGCUACAUGUUCAUUAAAAAAAGACCAUCCUGCAAACUGUGUUUGCAUUACGACUGAAUCCACAUUGAUGUAGUAGAUCUCUUGUCCUGGAUGCUUACAAAGCAGACUGUCUUCGGGGAAGCUAAUGGUGUUGGGCUAGUGGAAGCAAGUUAAAUCCCCUGAAAUAAAACAUGGCAAUUGUUUUA